rnacentral:rRNA from 1 species
UGCGCAGGCGGCCAAGUGUGUGAGGCGUGAAAGCCUGGGGCUUAACCCCAGAAUUGCACCUCAAACUACUCGGCUAGAGCAUUGGAGAGGGUAGCAGAAUUCAUGGUGUAGCAGUGAAAUGCGUAGAUAUCAUGAGGAAUACCAGAGGCGAAGGCGGCUACCUGGACAAUUGUGCGCUCAGGCACGAAAGCGUGGGGAGCAAAG